CUGGCCUUGACAUAGUAAGAACUUUCCAGAGAUGGAUUGGUGCCUUCGGGAACUUACAUACAGGUGCUGCAUGCCUGUCGUCAGCUCGUGUCGUGAGAUGUUGGGUUAAGUCCCGCAACGAGCGCAACCCUUUUCCUUAUUUGCCAGCGAGUAAUGUCGGGAACUUUAAGGAUACUGCCAGUGACAAACUGGAGGAAGGCGGGGACGACGUCAAGUCAUCAUGGCCCUUACGGCCAGGGCUACACACGUGCUACAAUGGUCGGUACAAAGGGUUGCUACCUAGCGAUAGGAUGCUAAUCUCAAAAAGCCGAUCGUAGUCCGGAUUGGAGUCUGCAACUCGACUCCAUGAAGUCGGAAUCGCUAGUAAUCGCGGAUCAGAAUGCCGCGGUGAAUA
rnacentral:rRNA from 1 species